GAGUAUAGUUCAAUGGUAGAAUGCUUACCUAGCAUGUGUGAGGCCCUGGGUUCAAUUCCCAGCACUC
rnacentral:tRNA from 1 species